AGAGUUUGAUCCUGGCUCAGAUUGAACGCUGGCGGCAGGCCUAACACAUGCAAGUCGAACGGUAACAGGAAGAAGCUUGCUUCUUUGCUGACGAGUGGCGGACGGGUGAGUAAUGUCUGGGAAACUGCCUGAUGGAGGGGGAUAACUACUGGAAACGGUAGCUAAUACCGCAUAACGUCGCAAGACCAAAGAGGGGGACCUUCGGGCCUCUUGCCACCGGAUGUGCCCAGAUGGGAUUAGCUUGUUGGUGGGGUAACGGCUCACCAAGGCGACGAUCCCUAGCUGGUCUGAGAGGAUGACCAGCCACACUGGAACUGAGACACGGUCCAGACUCCUACGGGAGGCAGCAGUGGGGAAUAUUGCACAAUGGGCGCAAGCCUGAUGCAGCCAUGCCGCGUGUAUGAAGAAGGCCUUCGGGUUGUAAAGUACUUUCAGCGGGGAGGAAGGGAGUAAAGUUAAUACCUUUGCUCAUUGACGUUACCCGCAGAAGAAGCACCGGCUAACUCCGUGCCAGCAGCCGCGGUAAUACGGAGGGUGCAAGCGUUAAUCGGAAUUACUGGGCGUAAAGCGCACGCAGGCGGUUUGUUAAGUCAGAUGUGAAAUCCCCGGGCUCAACCUGGGAACUGCAUCUGAUACUGGCAAGCUUGAGUCUCGUAGAGGGGGGUAGAAUUUCCAGGUGUAGCGGUGAAAUGCGUAGAGAUCUGGAGGAAUACCGGUGGCGAAGGCGGCCCCCUGGACGAAGACUGACGCUCAGGUGCGAAAGCGUGGGGAGCAAACAGGAUUAGAUACCCUGGUAGUCCACGCCGUAAACGAUGUCGACUUGGAGGUUGUGCCCUUGAGGCGUGGCUUCCGGAGCUAACGCGUUAAGUCGACCGCCUGGGGAGUACGGCCGCAAGGUUAAAACUCAAAUGAAUUGACGGGGGCCCGCACAAGCGGUGGAGCAUGUGGUUUAAUUCGAUGCAACGCGAAGAACCUUACCUGGUCUUGACAUCCACGGAAGUUUUCAGAGAUGAGAAUGUGCCUUCGGGAACCGUGAGACAGGUGCUGCAUGGCUGUCGUCAGCUCGUGUUGUGAAAUGUUGGGUUAAGUCCCGCAACGAGCGCAACCCUUAUCCUUUGUUGCCAGCGGUCCGGCCGGGAACUCAAAGGAGACUGCCAGUGAUAAACUGGAGGAAGGUGGGGAUGACGUCAAGUCAUCAUGGCCCUUACGACCAGGGCUACACACGUGCUACAAUGGCGCAUACAAAGAGAAGCGACCUCGCGAGAGCAAGCGGACCUCAUAAAGUGCGUCGUAGUCCGGAUUGGAGUCUGCAACUCGACUCCAUGAAGUCGGAAUCGCUAGUAAUCGUGGAUCAGAAUGCCACGGUGAAUACGUUCCCGGGCCUUGCACACACCGCCCGUC
rnacentral:rRNA from 1 species